UAAUGGCCACAGUCUUCACUAUUUUAAUCCCCCACAUGAGUUUCUGAAGGUGUAGAAAAUCACCAAAUAGUCACCAGAAUGAAUAGGGAAACUCGUCAUGGUGCUGAAGGGGUGAAAGACUGCUAUGUGUUGAUCUUGAUCCUGCUGCUACCCGAACCUUGCCUUGCCUUGCCUUGCCCUGCCCUGCCCUGCCCUGCCCUGCCCUGCCCUGCCCUGCCCUGCCCUGCCCUGCCUUGCCUUGCCUGCCUGCCCUGCCCUGCCCUGCCCUGCCCUGCCCUGCCUUGCCUUGCCUUGCCCUGCCUUGCCUUGCCUUGCCUUGCUACCAAACCAAUCCUAACUUUACCUAACCUAACCUUACCUUACUCUAACUUAACCAAUCCCAAAGUAACCUAACUAACCUUAUAUAACCUAACCUUACCUAACUUUCCCUUCCUUUCUCAUCCCUUUCCUUCUCUUCUCUUCUCUUCUCUUCUCUUUCCUUCCCUUCUUGAUCUUGAUCCUACUACAUAACCUAACCUAACCCUACUGUACUCUAGCAUACCCCUCCCGUCCCUUCCUGUCCCUUCUUGACUUUGAACCUACUGCUAACCUAGUGUGUUGCCGAGCAGGGUGGGUAGAAUUUGAUAGGAAAGUCAAGAAAUUGUUAUCUUUGUCUUAAUGGAUAUCUCGGCCCUAUGUGUGGGUAGGGCUGCCAAUAGUACUAAUUAACCCCUUCAUGACAUGUUUUUAUAUUUAUGGUGCGGACCAUUUAACGAUUUUGUUCACCUGUAAAUAAUUGGGCGGAGAUUGAAAUGGCAAAAGACUCAAGCCAUUAACUUUCCCGCCACCAUAGACCCUUGCUAAUGUAAAUGAAAUGGUCAAAUCGUACCCAAAACUCGUGGUAAAAGUGCGGAACAGUCCUAACCUAACACAAAACUUAUGGGGAGGGGAAUAAAUAAAAAAAAUAAUAAAUAAAUAGAAAAAUAAAAUAUGCGUCACAGCCUUAACCUAACCUAACCUAACUUGAACUAACCUUAACCCAACCUAACCUAACCUAACCUAACUAACCUAACCAAAACUCAUGGUAAAAAUGCGUCAGUACUGAAGGGGUUGUGUCCAUGGCCAAGAGAGCAAGAACUAGUGUACCAUUAUUUCUAGGAGUUAGGAAUGCUAUUAAUGCUCAGGUUAGGUAGGUGAGAGAAGGAUAAGGUUAGGAAGGCAAGAACGUAAGAAGAAGGUUAGGAAGGAAAGAAAAUUAUAGGUUAGGAAGGCAAGAAAAUCAGGUUAGGAGGACAAAAAAAAACUAGAAAGGUUAGGAA